rnacentral:rRNA from 1 species
GUGCCAGCAGCCGCGGUAAUACGUAGGGUCCAAGCGUUAAUCGGAAUUACUGGGCGUAAAGCGUGCGCAGGCGGUUGUGCAAGACCGAUGUGAAAUCCCCGAGCUUAACUUGGGAAUUGCAUUGGUGACUGCACGGCUAGAGUGUGUCAGAGGGGGGUAGAAUUCCACGUGUAGCAGUGAAAUGCGUAGAGAUGUGGAGGAAUACCGAUGGCGAAGGCAGCCCCCUGGGAUAACACUGACGCUCAUGCACGAAAGCGUGGGGAGCAAACAGGAUUAGAAACCCGGGUAGUCCA